UCAAUUUUAUACAUAUUAUUUUAAAAAUUUAUAAUCUUAUAUACUACAAUAAUUAAUAACAUAUUAGAUUUUUUAUGUGUUUGAUGUGAUUCAAUUUUUAAUAUAAGCUGGAAAAUCCUAGAAUUGACGGGUUUAAAUCGAUAUUAAUACAAGAUGGUAUACUACAUGUAAAACUCUAAAAUUAACAAUCAAAAUACAAGUGUAUAAUUUUAAACACUAAACAAUAUAAAUACUAGAUUUUAACCCGCGGUAUACCGCAGGAUGAUUUAUUUAUUAAAAGUAAUAUAUAUUAAAAUUUGCAAAUUUUAUUUUUAUAAAAUAUUUAUAUUUUACAGUUUAUAAUUGUUAUUAAGUAACGCUAUACCACGAAUCCAUGAGACAAUUGUUCAAAAACUGAAGUUUUAACCCCUAUUAAAACAGCAUAUUAAUAAUAUUUUAAAAUUUUAUAAAUAUUGAUUCAAAUACAUCCACCAUAUAAUCCAAUUCCAAAAUAAAUCCCGUUCUGUAAUUUUUUUACCCGUCUCGUGAAUUUUUUUUUAAUGUAGUAAUUUUUAAAAUUUAAAAAUUAUU
rnacentral:sRNA from 1 species